CUACUAUAUAAUUAACACAAAUAACUAAUGCACAGCCCUUCCCACCCCCACAAUUAAAUGUUUUUAAACAACUCUCGUGAUGAAAGAUCUACCUUUCAGGCAAACAAAAGCCAUCCCCAGCAGUUUGAGGGUUUGACACUGGAUUGCAUCAGUUUUUAAGUGAUCCUGGUGAUUUUUAUCUCCUAGAGUUCUAAGGAAUAAACAGUUGAUGGCAUAAUUUCCAAGAGAAUUUUGCACGGUGCCCAGGAGAACUUUCGAUUCUGUUUGCAGAUUCCCACACUUAUUACCCAAAAUCCCACAGAUUUCCGUGUCUUGCCCUUGACUGAAACAGUGCUCGGCGGAAAAGGUCCUCUGGGGAGAUGUUUCUCCGUGCCCUUCUUGACAAACCCCCUUUGGAUAUCUGGAUACUCUGAACAUCUCAACUGGGUUACAACAAAUUUCAAAACUUCUGAGAGGCAGCAAUGCCUCUCAAGAGGAUCCCCGGUGGCCAGCCCAAAAGCGUGGGCUCUACAUUAACACACACUUCCUCGUUUUGACCUGCUUUAGCUGAUUAGGGAAGCCUGGAAAUGAAUUCACAUUCCUCACUCAACUUAGGAACUGGGACCAAAGCCUUUUGAUAUCCAAGGCGAGCCAAUCUGUUUACUAGUUAGUGUAUUCGCUUCGGAAGAUGGCUAUUAAAAUAUGUGGACUGUGUCCCGAAGAUCUAAGGCCGGCAGGUCGGUAACUCCAGCCCCUGAUUCAACUUGCUUCCAACCCGCAUAACCCCUGUUCUUCACUUCUUACUACAGCGGCUAUGAAGUGCGAGCCGAGAGUGGAGAGUGACACAGCACGUGAGCGAGCGGUCUAUACUUUGCACCGAGUGAGGAAGGGGGUUUUAAAGAGAGAGAGAGUAGUUGCAAUAAAAUGAAAGCUUCCGGUCUCUGAAACGCCUCAAA